GAUUAAGAACGUAGCGAAAUGCGAUAAGUAAUGUGAAUUGCAGAAUUCAGUGAAUCAUCGAAUCUUUGAACGCACAUUGCGCCCGCCAGCACUCUGGCGGGCAUGCCUGUUCGAGCGUCAUUUCAACCAUCAAGCCCCCAGGGGCUUGUGCUGGGGCCCUGCGGCUGCCCGCAGGCCCUGAAAACCAGUGGCGGGCUCGCUAGUCACACCGAGCGCAGUAGCACAUCUCGCUCAGGGCGUGCGGCGGGCUCCUGCCGUGAAACCCCCCACUGUAACCCCAAAGGUUGACCUCGGAUCAGGUAGGAAUACCCGCUGAACUUAAGCAUAUCAAUAAGCGGAGGA
rnacentral:misc_RNA from 1 species